GAUGUGAGAUAAUGAAAUGCCUACGUGAUGAAACAAAGUGAAGGAAAUGACAUAGGCAGUUGAUGUAGCCUCAGGCUACCAUCGAUCUCCUGACUGUACAUCAGAAGGAAGAUCAUCUGCUUCUGAACUACCUCUGACUAUGGGUAACCGAAACCAUGGAAAGCGAAACUGUGGAGAAGCAGGCUGCACAACAGAUAACAUCUAAGGAAUGACCAGGUCAGGCCGUCAUGUGCAUGUUCCAGACCACUGUCCCUGAACACCUUGAUGCCAAGACCUUCUGGCUGUAGGGAAUAAGUGACUUAUGACAGACACCUGGAUCCUGUCUUUGUUUUGACCAGUUCCGGGAUGCCUGAGAAGACACGUGUACCAGACCACAAGCAUCAAUAAAAACCCCAGACCCCUAGCAAAGACUUCCUGUACUCCAACUGUACCUGCUCUCUCUCUCUCUAUUCCUUCAAUAAAUUCUGCUUUCACCUCCUGACGGUUCAAGUUUGAUUUCCAUCCUGUGUGAAGCCAAGGGCCAUCUUGGCUGGUCCUGUGUGACUCCCUCUGGGUCCUUCGACCCAGCCUGCCUGCAUCAUCUUGGCGACCACAAAGGGACCCUCAGAAGAACAGCAGUAUCCUCAGAUUGAGUCUGCAAAGCACAAUUUGGCCUUCAGGAACCGAUGCACACUACCACCACUAUCAUUGACAGAAAUCUGCUAAUCCAAACAGCUGGAACUGAUUUAUAUUUAACCAAGCUGAUAUUACUAUGUGAAAACUAGA